rnacentral:rRNA from 1 species
UGGGGAAUUUGGAAAUGGGGGGAACCCUGAAUCCAGCCAUGCCGCGUGUGUGAAGAAGGCCUUAUGGUUGUAAAGCACUUUAAGCGAGGAGGAGGGUACUGGUAUUAAUACUACCAGGUACUGGACGUUACUCGCAGAAUAAGCACCGGCUAACUCUGUGCCAGCAGCCGCGGUAAUACAGAGGGUGCGAGCGUUAAUCGGAUUUACUGGGCGUAAAGCGUGCGUAGGCGGCUAAUUGAGUCGGAUGUGAAAUCCCCGAGCUUAACUUGGGAAUUGCAUUCGAUACUGGUUAGCUAGAGUGUGGGAGAGGAUGGUAAAAUUCCAGGUGUAGCGGUGAAAAUGCGUAAAGAUCUGGAGGAAUACCGAUGGCGAAGGCAGCCAUCUGGCCUAACCCUGACGCUGAGGUACGAAAGCAUGGGGAGCAAACAGGAUUAGAUACCCUGGUAGUCCAUGCCGUAAACGAUGUCUACUAGCCGUUGGUCCUUUUGAGGGAUAGUGGCGCCCCUACGCGAUAAUUAACCCCUGGGGAUACGGUCCCAAAAUAAACUCAAAUGAAUUGACGGGGGCCCGCACAAGCGGUGGAGCAUGUGGUUUAAUUCGAUGCAACGCGAAGAACCUUACCUGGUCUUGACAUAGUAAGAACUUUCCAGAGAUGGAUUGGUGCCUUCGGGAACUUACAUACAGGUGCUGCAUGGCUGUCGUCAGCUCGUGUCGUGAGAUGUUGGGUUAAGUCCCGCACCGAGCGCAACCCUUUUCCUUAUUUGCCAGCACUUUUGGGUGGGAACUUUAAGGAUACUGCCAGUGACAAACUGGAGGAAGGCGGGGACAACUCAAGUCAUCAUGGCCCUUACACCAGGGCUACCCACGUGCUACAAUGGUCGGUACAAAGGGUUGCUACCUAGCGAUAGGAUGCUAAUCUCAAAAAGCCGAUCGUAGUCCGGAUUGGAGUCUGCAACUCGACUCCAUGAAGUCGGAAUCGCUAGAAUCGCGGUUCAGAA